UACGAAGGGUGCAAGCGUUACUCGGAAUUACUGGGCGUAAAGCGUGCGUAGGUGGUGAGUUAAGUCUGUCGUGAAAGCCCCGGGCUCAACCUGGGAAUGGCGAUGGAUACUGGCUCGCUAGAGUGCGGUAGAGGAGAGUGGAAUUCCCGGUGUAGCAGUGAAAUGCGUAGAGAUCGGGGAGGAACAUCAGUUGCGAAGGCGGCUCUCUGGACCAGCACUGACACUGAGGCACGAAAAGCGUGGGGAGCAAACAGG
rnacentral:rRNA from 1 species